CGGGUAGUACAGCGCUGGAUUUCAUCGGACUUCCAAUCCGAAGAUGCGGGUUCGAAUCCCGCCGCCCGCU
rnacentral:tRNA from 1 species